GAUGAACGCUGGCGGCGUGCCUAAUACAUGCAAGUCGAGCGAACGGACGAUAAGCUUGCUUCUCUGAUGUUAGCGGCGGACGGGUGAGUAACACGUGGAUAACCUACCUAUAAGACUGGGAUAACUUCGGGAAACCGGAGCUAAUACCGGCUAAUACUUUGAACCGCAUGAUUCAAAAGUGAAAGACGGUCUUGCUGUCACUAAUAGCUGGAUCCGCGCUGCAUUAGCUAGUUGGUAAGGUAACGGCUUACCAAGGCAACGAUGCAUAGCCGACCUGAGAGGGUGAUCAGCCACACUGGAACUGAGACACGGUCCAGACUCCUACGGGAGGCAGCAGUAGGGAAUCUUCCGCAAUGGGCGAAAGCCUGACGGAGCAACGCCGCGUGAGUGAUGAAGGUCUUCGGAUCGUAAAGCUCUGUUAUUAGGGAAGAACAUCUGUGGAAGUAACUGUGCACAUCUUGACGGUACCUAAUCAGAAAGCCACGGCUAACUACGUG
rnacentral:rRNA from 1 species